GGGGAUGUAGUUCAGUGAUAGAGUGCUUGCCUAGCAUGGUUGAGGCCCUGGGUUUGAACCCUAGUAUUCUCA
rnacentral:tRNA from 1 species